rnacentral:lncRNA from 1 species
UACAACUCAUUAUUUGCGAAGAACAGAGUUCCAAAGAAUGGAUUUCAGUUACCAAAUUUCCCACAAGAAAAGGAAGAGGACGAUAUGAUCUUUCAAACGGCCGAUGAAACUGAAAUUGAAGAUACUUUCGGAAUAUGCCUGCUCGGAUAUUUUGCCGGAAAAUUUCCUGGGAAACAAGCUCUAGCCGCCAUCUGUGAUGCAUGGGAAGUCAAAUACACCUACAAAAGCCACGACAAUGGAUGGCUGAUCUUCACAUUCGACAACGAGGCAGACAAGAACAAAGUACUCGAAGGAGGACCAUACACAAUCUUCGAUAGGCAGCUUCAUAUGAAACCGAUGUCGAGGUACUUUAAUUUUGACCCGAACGAAAUGUGUAUUGUUCCGGUGUGGGUGAAAUUGCAUAACUGGCCCCCAAUCUACUGGAAUGAAGUUGCUCUAGGCAAAUUUGCAAGUAAACUUGGCACUCCGAUCUGCUCCGACGCGUUGACUAAAGAAAAAUUGAAAAUCUCGUAUGCUCGGCUCCUGGUGAAUGUGGAUGCCUCGAAACCUCUCAAAGAAGAGGUGAAAAUCAUCUGUCCAGACGGCACGGCAACAAUGCAGAAAAUCGAGUAUGAAUACAAGCCUAAAUUCUGCUCCCAUUGCAAGACACUUGCCCAUAAUACAGCUAAUUGCCCAAUACUGUACCCCCCAGCAGAGCCUAGAGUAAUUCCGGUCAAGAAAGAUCAGAGACCACCAGAACAAGUCUGGAAACAGAUUAUCAGAGGGAAAGCUACGCCAGUUAACACCCACACAUAUUUUGAGGAGCCGUCCCAAGAUGAUCUACACGCAGAAUCCCUGAUUACUGCUUUUGUCGGGAGCCAUGCAAAAGAUCCUGACCCCCCCUAUUAUGGCAGCAAGCACUCUGAUUCAAGCCCAAAAUCACCUACCGAAGCCACGAAGGAGGGAGAAUUCCUCAACUUAAGUCACUUUCCCAGGUAUGAAGGACCGUGGGCUCCAUUGGCUGAGCACGAAGAAGUACAGCAAUUCGACCCUAGGUUCAAACCUGCAAGGAAGCAGCCAAUACAACAAGAUAGAUCAAACAAGCAACAUCUGGGGCAGAACAGAUGGGGAAACGACAAGGGGCAGGGCAGCAGUGCUAGGAAGGCCUAUGGCCUUUCCUCAGCGCAAUGAUUAUUUCAUCGUGGAAUAUCAGGGGCUUCAACAAGCCCCUGAAGCAGAAUGGGAUCAGGGAUCUCAUUCUUAAGAAUAAUAUCGACAUUUUUGGUAUUUUGGAAACGAAAGUUAAAACGCAAGUGCUGGUCGAUAAAAUUAUGCAGAACAAGUUCAGUGGUAUGUUGGCAGCAAACAAUUUAUGUCAGCAUAGUGGGGGCAGAAUACUCAUCAUUUGGAACCCGUCAAAGGUGCACCUUGAAGUAAGAAGCAUGAACAAUCAAGCUAUUCACUGUUUUGCCACGUGUAAAAUCACCUCUAUGGAAUUCCACAUCUCCUUUGUGUAUGGAUUAUACUCAAAUUCAGAUAGGAAAGCGCUGUGGCAAACUAUUGAUAAAUAUGGGGAGAAUCUUCGAGAACCAUGGCUUAUCCUCGGCGAUUUCAAUUGUGUUCUCAGUCCGGAAGAGAAGAAAGGGGGCAAUGAACCUAUCCCGUAUGCCGUAAGAGACUUCAAUGAUUGCAUGCAAACAAAUGGGAUUUCAGACCUCCCGUUUAACGGCUGCCAUAUGACGUGGUCAAACUCCGGAACAGAUAACAUUAUCUGGAGCAAGCUUGAUAGAGCAAUGGUGAAUCACUGGUGGUUUCAAUCCCCGAAUCAAGCAGACUUUGAGAGCUCGGUCACAUUUCACCCCUCGGGAGCCUUAUCUGAUCAUUCCCCAUGCAUCAUCAACCUAUCAUCAGUGAAAAAGAGACCCAAGAAAGCAUUUAAAUUCUUCAACAUGUGGGUGCAGCAUCCGAAAUUGUGCAAGACAACUGGAAUACGAGAAACUUCGGCACUGCUCAGUACUGCCUUUGCAAAAUGCAAAAAGCUUAAAGCUUUGAAGAAACCGCUUAAUGUCCUUAAUCAGCAAGAAUUCAGCCACAUCUCAAAAGGAAGAAAGGAACUGGAAGAUCUCCAAAUUCAUAUGCAAUCAGACCUUAAUAACCGUGAUCUCGCCCAAGAUAUCAAAAUUAAAGCAGCUAGAACGAAGCUCCUCAUGGAAGCCGAAAGGAGUUUCUUGACUCAGAAAGCUAAGAAUCACUAUAUCAAGCAUGCAGAUCGAAGUAACAAAGUGUUCUACGGUGUGAUCAACAAACGAGCAAAAAGCAACCACAUUGCCGCUGUGAUUCGAGAGGAUGGUUCAUCUACCACAUCUGAAGAUGAAGUGAUUUCAGAAUUUAAUGACUUCUAUCAGAACCUUCUUGGAUCAGCUGAUCAUUGCACUCCUCUUAACCGAGAAAUUAUCAGCGUUGGACCAAUCCUGAGUGUAGACCAAGGUAGAGACCUUAUCAGACCAGUAUCCGUCCAAGAAAUUCGGUAUGCUCUCCAAGAGAUUGGUGAUGAUAAAUCCCCCGGACCGGAUGGAUAUAAUUCAUACUUUUUCAAGAAAGCGUGGUCAACAGUAGGCAGAGAUGUAAUUGAUGCUGUUCUUGAAUUCUUCAGAAAUGGGAGGCUCUUAAAGCAACUGAACCACACCACUCUUGCCCUUAUCCCAAAGUCUGAUCAUGCUUCUGCCGUAGGAGAUUAUCGGCCUAUUGCUUGCUGCAACAUCGUUUAUAAAAUCAUCUCCAAAAUUAUUGCAACAAGGCUAAGCAGUGUUCUUGAUCUCCUAGUGGAUAAAGCUCAAUCUGCCUUCAUCAAAGGACGGAACAUUGGUGACAACAUCCAUCUGGCUGAAGUGCUUCUUCGACAGUAUCAACGAAUCAGAACAGCGCCUAAAUGCCUCAUCAAGGUGGACCUAAGAAAAGCUUACGACUCCAUUAAUUGGACUUUUAUCGGUGAUAUGCUGAAUGAACUUCACUUCCCUCCAAUCUUCAGAGCAUGGAUCAUGGAAUGUAUUACAACGCCAUCAUAUUCAGUAUCUAUCAAUGGUAGCUCUCAUGGGCUCAUCAAAGGUAAGAAAGGACUAAGACAAGGGGAUCCUCUAUCGCCGUUCCUCUUUGUUCUCUGCCUAGAUUACUUCUCCAGACUCAUCAAGACUAAAACCGUGAACUCCGACUUCAAUUUCCAUCCAAAGUGCGAAAAGAACAACAUUACUCACUUAGCUUUCGCGGAUGACCUAAUGUUGUUUGCUAGAGGGGAUUUGGGAUCGAUCUCAGUGCUUAAAGACUGCCUAAGCAUAUUGGGGGAUACUACAGGUCUAAAAAUCAGCAUGCACAAGUCAAACAUCUAUCUCGCUGGUGUAAAAGAGCCGGAGAAAGCCUCUAUUCUUGAUCAACUUCAUAUCACGCAUGGUACUUUUCCGUUCCGAUAUCUUGGGAUUCCUCUUGCCGCUUCAAAACUGAAAGUGCUGCAGUAUUCUCCUCUGACUGAUAGAAUCCGGAAACUUAUUGAGAAAUGGAACGGAGCUACACUAUCCUAUGGUGGGAAAAUUGAGCUUAUACGAUCAGUGGUGCAAGGGGUGGUAUGUUUCUGGCUCUCAUUGUUUCACAUACCCUCAGCCGUGGUGUACUGCAUCCAGAGGCUUUGUAGUAUUUUUCUCUGGGGUUCAAAAACUGCUACAGUUCAAUGGAAUGAUUUGUGCUUCCCCAAGACAGAAGGGGGGUUAGGCUUUCGAAAUCUCAAGGUGUGGAACAGAGCUUUACUCCUUAAAGAGGUGUGGAACAUCCAUUCGAAAAAAGAUGCCCUAUGGAUCCAAUGGGUAAACGAAUUUUUCUUCAAAACAGUGGAUAUAUGGGAAUGGCAUCCUAAACCUGACUCACCACCGCUACUCAAAUCGCUCGCCGGAACUAUCAAAAUCUUCAUUGCAAAAGCUGGAAGCGUGGACGCUGCCAAGCACCUUCUAUCUAAGUGGGGCGGUGAAGGUAAAUUCAACAGCUCCCUAGCCUAUGAAUGGCUCAGAGACAAACAGCCGAUACAAUGGUGGUGCAAGAAAAUAUGGAACCAAUGGACCCCCCCAAAGCAAUCAUUCACAAUGUGGAUGUGCCUCAAGGAUUAUCUGAGAACCCGUGACAACUUGAUUAAAAUGCGCAUUCAAAUAGCUGCCAUCUGCCCCCUCUGUGAUGCUCAAAACGAAACGGUGAAACACUUAUUUUUCUCAUGCACUUUCAGUCACCAAAUCUGGCAGCAUAUCAAGAUGUGGCUUGGAAUCUCGAACAGGAUGUCUACUAUCGAAAGUGCAUUGAAACUGUUAAAACGACAAGGCAGUCAAAGGAGUCAGCGAAAGAUGGGUAAAUUCAUUGCUUUGACCUGUACAGUCUAUGCCAUUUGGAAGGCUAGGAAUUGCUUGAUUUUUGACGGAAUUGCGCCUAUACCAUCUGAUAUUAUCAGAAGCAUCCAAUUUCAAGUUUAUAGAACAUUAUACUCCCUCCCCCCUAUUAAUCUUAAUGUGCAGAUGUAAUAGUUGGAAUUGGUGUAUAUUGCCCGGGUAUGCCUGGUGUAUGUGUAUAUUGCUCGAACUCUCUUAUCUUGCAGGGUACCCACCGAAUCUUGAUUGUGAUUCAAUGAUCAAGAAGGAAUGCUGCACAGGUAGUGGUAGUAUACCAAAGGAUAAGUAUAUAAAAAACGAGCAGCUAGGGCCUAAAUGUGGCCCUGGCUUUGGGCUCCUAACUUACUAUUACUAUGAAUGCAGUGUGGGAAGUUUUACGGUCUCUUGGUUGAACCAUGGUCGGAUUUGGUAUGCUUUGGGGCAGCUAGGGCCUAUAUGUGGCCCUGGCUUUGGGCCCCUAACUUACUAUUAUUAUGUAUGCUGUGGGGGGAGUGUUACGGUCUCUCGAUUGGUCCACUGUUGGAUUUCGAGUAUUUUGGGGCAGCUAGGGCAUAUAUGUGGCCCUGGCUUUGGGCACCAAAAUUACGUUUUUUAUGAAUGCUGUGAGGGGAGUGUUAUGGCCUCUUGGUGGGCCCAUUUUUGGAUUUUGUAUGUUUUGGGGCAGCUAGGGCCUAUAUGUGGCCCUGGCUUGGGGCCCCAUUUGAUAAAUUUGAUAAAUUUGAUUUGUUUGGUAUGUAAAUGUCAACACACAUCACAGGAUAAUUAUCUCAGUUGGGCCCAUGGGAGCAAAUAUAAUGAUACUCAGGUGGUUUCGAUUCCAAAACCCCAUACAUAUCCCUCCCCUAUCUUGAAUACAGAUGCUUCUGUGAAGAACCUCUGUUGGAAUUUCUUUAAGCAGGGAACAGGUACUGAAGAAAACCGAGACCUCACACAAAGAAUCCACCGACUUGCUAAACCCCCACGGAAGAUGAAUUGGGUGCUACAGCAUUGGGUGAUCGUGCGGGAAAAUGGAGGCAACGGCUGCAAAUCAAGGAC